rnacentral:sRNA from 1 species
GCCUGUAGAACCUGUACUCCCAGCUACUUGGGAGGCUGAAGCAGAAGGUUUGCUUGAGCUCAGGAGUUUGGGGCAUCCUGGGCAAUAUAGUGAGACUCCAUCACUU